AGCGAACGUUAGCGGCGGGCCUAACACAUGCAAGUCGAACGAGAAUGUAGGCUUCGGUCUACUAGUAAAGUGGCGGACGGGUGCGUAACACGUGGGUAAUCUACCUUCCGGCGGGGGACAACAGUCCGAAAGGAUUGCUAAUACCGCAUACGUCAGCGGCGCCUCCGGGCGCUGUUGGGAAAGAUUGCCUCUCCUUGGGAGCUCACACCGGAAGAUGAGCCCGCGUCCCAUCAGCUAGUUGGUGAGGUAAUGGCUCACCAAGGCUAAGACGGGUAGCUGGUCUGAGAGGAUGAUCAGCCACACUGGGACUGCGACACGGCCCAGACUCCUACGGGAGGCAGCAGUGGGGAAUAUUGGGCAAUGGGCGAAAGCCUGACCCAGCCACGCCGCGUGAGUGAUGAAGGCCUUCGGGUCGUAAAGCUCUGUGGGGAGGGACGAACAAAUCUGGGGCUAAUCACCCGGGUCCUGACGGUACCUCCUUAGCAAGCACCGGCUAACCCUGUGCCAGCCGCCGCAGUAA
rnacentral:rRNA from 1 species